UGGCUCAGAAGCAGCCACCAUUAAAAGAGUGCGUAAUAGCUCACUGGUCGAGAGGACCUGCGCCGAAGAUAUCCGGGGCUCAAGCACAGAACCGAAGCCGCGGCAAGGUGUUAGACACCUUGGGUAGGGGAGCGUACCAUACGCAACGAAGGCUGACUGGAAAGACAACUGGAGCGUAUGGCAGUGAGAAUGCCGGUAUGAGUAGCGAAAAGGACGGUGAGAAUCCGUCCCACCGAAAGCCUAAGGUUUCCUGAGCAACGAUCGUCGGCUCAGGGUAAGUCGGGACCUAAGCCGAGGCAAAGAGCGUAGGCGAAGGACAACUGGCAAAAAAUCCAGUACCACUCUAAGUUGUUUGAGGAUGGAGUGACACAGGAGGGAACUUGAGCGCGCGAAUGGAAGAGCGCGUCGAACGCGGUAGGCUGGCAAAGAGGCAAAUCCCUUUGCUAAGGCCGAGAGCGGAUAGGGAAGUAAGCGAAAGCGAACGGAACUCAAGGGAACCACACUGUCGAGAAAAGCUUCUAACGAGACGAAGAGUGCCCGUACCGCAAACCGACACAGGUAGGCGGGGAGAGAAUCCUAAGGUGCGCGGGAAAACCCUCGUUAAGGAACUCGGCAAAAUGUAUCCGUAACUUCGGGAAAAGGAUAGCCGGAGCUAGUGAACUCUCAAGCAGAGGGAGCGAGAGCCGGUGGCACAAGAGAGGCCCAGGCGACUGUUUAGCACAAACACAGGUACUUGCGAAAGAGAAAUCUGAAGUAUAAGCGCUGACGCCUGCCCGGUGCUGGAAGGUUAAGGAAAGAGGUCAAGAGCAAUCUGAAGCUUCGAACUGAAGCCCCAGUGAACGGCGGCCGUAACUAUAACGGUCCUAAGGUAGCGAAAUUCCUUGUCGGGUAAGUUCCGACCCGCAUGAAAGGCGUAACGACCUGGGCACUGUCUCAACGAGGGACCCGGUGAAAUUGAAAUACCUGUGAAGAUGCAGGUUACCCGCGACUGGACAGAAAGACCCCAUGGAGCUUUACUGCAGCCUGGCAUUGAUUUUUGGGAAAGGAUGUACAGGAUAGGUGGGAGACUGGGAAAGUGAGACGCAAGUCACACUGGAGUCAAUGUUGGGAUACCACCCUUCCUUUUCUAAGGACCUAACCGAAGGGGUAACGACCCUCGAGACAGUGCCAGGGGGACAGUUUGACUGGGGCGGUCGCCUCCGAAAGAGCAACGGAGGCGUCCCAAGGUUCCCUCAGCGCGGCCGGAAAUCGCGCGAAGAGUAUAAAGGCAGAAGGGAGCUUGACUGCGAGACGGACAGGUCGAGCAGGUGCGAAAGCAGGGCUUAGUGAUCCGGUGGAAAGAAAGUGGAAUUGCCAUCGCUCAACGGAUAAAAGCUACCCUGGGGAUAACAGGCUAAU
rnacentral:rRNA from 1 species